CCUACGAGUGGCAGCAGUGGGGAAUAUUGGGCAUUGGAGGCAACUCUGACCCAGCAACGCCGCGUGAAUGAUGAAGGUCUUCGGAUUGUAAAGUUCUGUGAUGGGGGAUGAACACAAUGACGGUACCCCAAUAGCAAGCCACGGCUAACUACGUGCCAGCAGCCGCGGUAAUACGUAGGUGGCAAGCGUUAUCCGGAAUGACUGGGCGUAAAGGGGGCGUAGGUGGUUUAGUAAGUUGGCGGUGUAAUUCCGGGGCUCAACCUCGGCGCUACCGCCAAAACUAUUAGACUAGAGUGCAGGAGGGGUAAGUGGAAUUCCUAGUGUAGCGGUGGAAUGCGUAGAUAUUAGGAGGAACAUCAGGGGCGAAGGCGACUUACUGGACUGUAACUGACACUGAGGCACGAAAGCGUGGGGAGCAAACAGGAUUAGAUACCCCGGUAGUC
rnacentral:rRNA from 1 species